rnacentral:rRNA from 1 species
GAUGAACGCUGGCGGCGUGCCUAAUACAUGCAAGUCGAGCGAACGGACGAGAAGCUUGCUUCUCUGAUGUUAGCGGCGGACGGGUGAGUAACACGUGGAUAACCUACCUAUAAGACUGGGAUAACUUCGGGAAACCGGAGCUAAUACCGGAUGAUAUUUUGAACCGCAUGGUUCAAAAGUGAAAGACGGUCUUGCUGUCACUUAUAGAUGGAUCCGCGCUGCAUUAGCUAGUUGGUAAGGUAACGGCUUACCAAGGCAACGAUGCAUAGCCGACCUGAGAGGGUGAUCGGCCACACUGGAACUGAGACACGGUCCAGACUCCUACGGGAGGCAGCAGUAGGGAAUCUUCCGCAGUGGGCGAAAGCCUGACGGAGCAACGCCGCGUGAGUGAUGAAGGUCUUCGGAUCGUAAAACGCUGUUAUUAGGGAAGAACAUAUGUGUAAGUAACUGUGCACAUCUGGACGGUACCUAAUCAGAAAGCCACGGCUAACUACGU